rnacentral:rRNA from 1 species
GAAACUAACAAGGAUUCCCCUAGUAGCGGCGAGCGAAGCGGGAAGAGCUCAAAUUUAUAAUCUGGCACCUUCGGUGUCCGAGUUGUAAUCUCUAGAAGUGUUUUCCGCGUUGGACCGCACACAAGUCUGUUGGAAUACAGCGGCAUAGUGGUGAAACCCCCGUAUAUGGUGCGGACGCCCAGCGCUUUGUGAUACACUUUCAAUGAGUCGAGUUGUUUGGGAAUGCAGCUCAAAUUGGGUGGUAAAUUCCAUCUAAAGCUAAAUAUUGGCGAGAGACCGAUAGCGAACAAGUACCGUGAGGGAAAGAUGAAAAGCACUUUGGAAAGAGAGUUAACAGUACGUGAAAUUGUUGGAAGGGAAACGCUUGAAGUCAGACUUGCUUGCCGGAGCUUGCUUCGGUUUGCAGGCCAGCAUCAGUUUUCCGGGGUGGAUAAUGACGGUUUGAAGGUAGCAGUCUCGGCUGUGUUAUAGCUUUCCGUUGGAUACAUCCUGGGGGACUGAGGAACGCAGCGUGCUUUUUGCGAAAGACUCGUCUUUUUCACGC